GAACCUCUUCCUGAAGUAGUCCUCCCUCUGUGGGUCAGUGAACCCUCUGACCUCUGUCACCAUGUCAACACACUCAGGAGGGAUCUGAUUGGCUGCUGCAGGUCGUGAGGUUAUCCAGAGGCGAGCAGAGGGAAGCAGGUUCCCCCUGAUGAGGUUUGUCAGCAGCACAUCCACUGAGGUGGACUCUGUAACAUCAGUCAGGAUCUUAGUGUUGAGGAAGUCCAGAGGAAGUCGACACUCAUCCAGACCGUCAAAGAUGAACACAACCUGGAACUCUUCAAA